AUGGAACAAUGGUUCCAGUUGGAGGAAAUUGCCAAAAGCAUUACCUUUACUGCCGAGUCGGAUGCCCUGAUUUGGCAGCUGGACAAUAAGGGGAAGUAUUCCUCCAGCUCCCUCUAUCAUGUUAUCAACUUUAGAGGGGUUCAACCCGUGUUUAUCCAUGCUAUCUGGAAAUUGAGAGUUCCCCCUAAAAUUCAUGUAUUUCUCUGGCUUCUCUCCAAAAACAAAUUGAUGACUAGGGAUAACCUUAGGAAGAGACACAUCAUCAAACCCCUUGAUUGUGUUUACUGCUUGGAACAAGAGUCUUGUUCUCACCUAUUUUUUGAAUGUAUAGUUGCUAAACAUCUCUGGGCCCACAUUGAGGAAUAUUUCUCUAGUCAGAUUAGCUCAUCCUUCGAAUCCGUCGAUAGAUUCUGGAUUGCUACCAAAAAGUGCUCAGUUUUAAAUACUGUUAGCUCAGCUAUCCCUUGGUGCCUCUGGAAAUAUAGAAAUGUUAUGAUUUUCAGUAACACCUCCUAUAGAAACCCUAACAAGAUCCCUCCAGAAACAGUUGGCGAUCACUUGUGGCUGAACAAGGCUCGACCUACUCUGGGGCUGGACCCGUGGGCUCGUCUCAAGAUCUCUGAUGAAGAUGAUGGGCACCUGGCACCGAAAAAGAGGGACAUCCACCAUGUUACGCCUUCCAGCCCGGUGUCUCCGCUUGCUUACUGGUCGCCGCAGGCUGACACGGCCCCUCGGCUGAAGACCGUGAAGGCUUCGCUGGACCCUCUUUGUGCCAUUUGA
rnacentral:rRNA from 1 species